AUGAAGAUAAGUCUUACAAACGGGAUUUAUAAUGUAUACGAAUUUAAAGAAGCCCAUAACCAUAGCCUUGCUACUGGAAACAUGUCGCAAUACUUAAGAUCACACAGAAAAGUAACUGAAGCUCAACUAGCCAAUGCCGAGGUUGCCAAGUCAGUGGGCAUUUCAAAUAAAGCAACUAUUGAUCUAAUGACGAAAGAAGCAUGUGGACCUGAAAACCUUGGCUUUAUAAGCACGGACAUGAAAAACCGUUUGUACUCGAAGAGAACACUAAAAGCAAAGGUGGGUGACACGGGAGGAGUGUUAGAAUAUAUGGUAAAGAAGGUUUCAGAAGAUAAGUUUUUUUUAUUCAAUUCAAGUUGA
rnacentral:rRNA from 1 species